CAGUGAUAAACUGGAGGAAGGUGGGGAUGACGUCAAGUCAUCAUGGCCCUUACGACCAGGGCUACACACGUGCUACAAUGGCGCAUACAAAGAGAAGCGACCUCGCGAGAGCAAGCGGACCUCAUAAAGUGCGUCGUAGUCCGGAUUGGAGUCUGCAACUCGACUCCAUGAAGUCGGAAUCGCUAGUAAUCGUGGAUCAGAAUGCCACGGUGAAUACGUUCCCGGGCCUUGUACACACCGCCCGUCACACCAUGGGAGUGGGUUGCAAAAGAAGUAGGUAGCUUAACCUUCGGGAGGGCGCUUACCACUUUGUGAUUCAUGACUGGGGUGAAGUCGUAACAAGGUAACCGUAGGGGAACCUGCGGUUGGAUCACCUCCUUACCUUAAA
rnacentral:rRNA from 1 species